GGGUUGUGAGGUUAAGCGAAUAAGCGUACACGGUGGAUGCCUAGGCAAUCAGAGGCGAUGAAGGACGUGCUAAUCUGCGAUAAGCGUCGGUAAGGUGAUAUGAACCGUUAUAACCGACGAUUUCCGAAUGGGGAAACCCAAUAUCCAAUGGAUAUUAUCAUUACGUGAAUACAUAGCGUAAUGAAGCGAACCGGGAGAACUGAAACAUCUCAGUACCCCGAGGAAAAGAAAUCAACCGAGAUUCCCCUAGUAGCGGCGAGCGAACGGGGAACAGCCCAGAGUCUUAAUCAAUAGCAGCAUCAGGAGAACGGUCUGGAAAGUCCGGCAGUAAAGGGUGAUAGCCCCGUAUCUGAAGAUGUUGUUAUUGUGAACUCGACGAGUAGGGCGGGACACGUGUUAUCCUGUCUGAAUAUGGGGGGACCAUCCUCCAAGGCUAAAUACUCCUGAUUGACCGAUAGUGAACCAGUACCGUGAGGGAAAGGCGAAAAGAACCCCGGCGAGGGGAGUGAAAAAGAACCUGAAACCGUGUACGUACAAGCAGUAGGAGCCUCUUUUAUGGGGUGACUGCGUACCUUUUGUAUAAUGGGUCAGCGACUUAUAUUCUGUAGCAAGGUUAACCGUAUAGGGGAGCCGUAGGGAAACCGAGUCUUAACUGGGCGAAUGAGUUGCAGGGUAUAGACCCGAAACCCGGUGAUCUAUCCAUGGGCAGGUUGAAGGUUGGGUAACACUAACUGGAGGACCGAACCGACUAAUGUUGAAAAAUUAGCGGAUGACUUGUGGAUGGGGGUGAAAGGCCAAUCAAACCGGGAGAUAGCUGGUUCUCCCCGAAAGCUAUUUAGGUAGCGCCUCGUGAACUCAUCUUCGGGGGUAGAGCACUGUUUCGACUAGGGGGUCAUCCCGACUUACCAACUCGAUGCAAACUGCGAAUACCGAAGAAUGUUAUCACGGGAGACACACGGCGGGUGCUAACGUCCGUCGUGAAGAGGGAAACAACCCAGACCGCCAGCUAAGGUCCCAAAGUCAUGGUUAAGUGGGAAACGAAGUGGGAAGGCUCAGACAGCCAGGAUGUUGGCUUAGAAGCAGCCAUCAUUUAAAGAAAGCGUAAUAGCUCACUGGUCGAGUCGGCCCGCGCGGAAGAUGUAACGGGGCUAAACCAUGCACCGAAGCUGCGGCAGCGACACUUAGGUGUUGUUGGGUAGGGGAGCGUUCUGUAAGCCUGCGAAGGUGUGCUGUGAGGCAUGCUGGAGGUAUCAGAAGUGCGAAUGCUGACAUAAGUAACGAUAAUGCGGGUGAAAAACCCGCACGCCGGAAGACCAAGGGUUCCUGUCCAACGUUAAUCGGGGCAGGGUGAGUCGACCCCUAAGGCGAGGCUGAAAAGCGUAGUCGAUGGGAAACGGGUUAAUAUUCCCGUACUGGUGGUAACUGCGAUGGGGGAACGGAGAAGGCUAGGUUGUCCGGGCGACGGUCGUCCCGGUUCAAGCAUGUAGGCAGAGUGAUUAGGCAAAUCCGGUCACUUAAUGCUGAGGUGUGAUGACGAACCACUAAGGUGGUGAAGCAAUUGAUGCCCUGCUUCCAGGAAAAGCCUCUAAGCUUCAGGUUACCAACAAUCGUACCCCAAACCGACACAGGUGGUCAGGUAGAGAAUACUCAGGCGCUUGAGAGAACUCGGGUGAAGGAACUAGGCAAAAUGGUGCCGUAACUUCGGGAGAAGGCACGCUGGCGGUAAGUGAAGUCCCUUGCGGACGGAGCCGAAGCCAGUCGAAGAUACCAGCUGGCUGCAACUGUUUAUUAAAAACACAGCACUGUGCAAACACGAAAGUGGACGUAUACGGUGUGACGCCUGCCCGGUGCUGGAAGGUUAAUUGAUGGGGUUAUCCUUAGGGAGAAGCUCUUGAUCGAAGCCCCAGUAAACGGCGGCCGUAACUAUAACGGUCCUAAGGUAGCGAAAUUCCUUGUCGGGUAAGUUCCGACCUGCACGAAUGGCGUAAUGAUGGCCAGGCUGUCUCCACCCGAGACUCAGUGAAAUUGAACUCGCUGUGAAGAUGCAGUGUACCCGCGGCAAGACGGAAAGACCCCGUGAACCUUUACUAUAGCUUGACACUGAACAUUGAGCCUUGAUGUGUAGGAUAGGUGGGAGACUUUGAAGUGUGGACGCCAGUCUGCAUGGAGUCAACCUUGAAAUACCACCCUUUAACGUUUGAUGUUCUAACCUAGGUCCAUAAUCUGGAUCGGGGACCGUGUCUGGUGGGUAGUUUGACUGGGGCGGUCUCCUCCUAAAGAGUAACGGAGGAGCACGAAGGUUGGCUAAGCAUGGUCGGACAUCAUGCGGUUAGUGCAAAGGCAUAAGCCAGCUUGACUGUGAGAGUGACGGCUCGAGCAGGUACGAAAGUAGGUCUUAGUGAUCCGGUGGUUCUGAAUGGAAGGGCCAUCGCUCAACGGAUAAAAGGUACUCCGGGGAUAACAGGCUGAUACCGCCCAAGAGUUCAUAUCGACGGCGGUGUUUGGCACCUCGAUGUCGGCUCAUCACAUCCUGGGGCUGAAGUAGGUCCCAAGGGUAUGGCUGUUCGCCAUUUAAAGUGGUACGCGAGCUGGGUUUAGAACGUCGUGAGACAGUUCGGUCCCUAUCUGCCGUGGGCGUUGGAAGAUUGAGAGGGGUUGCUCCUAGUACGAGAGGACCGGAGUGAACGCACCACUGGUGUUCGGGUUGUCAUGCCAAUGGCAUUGCCCGGUAGCUAAGUGCGGAAGAGAUAACCGCUGAAAGCAUCUAAGCGGGAAACUUGCCUCGAGAUGAGUCUUCCCUGUCACCUUGAGUGACCUAAAGGAACGUUUAAGACUAAGACGUUGAUAGGCUGGGUGUGUAAGCGUAGCGAUACGUUGAGCUAACCAGUACUAAUGAACCGUGAGGCUUAACCUGACAACACCGAAGGUGUUU
rnacentral:rRNA from 1 species